UUUAACAAUGUGAGACAUGACUUUUGUGGUUAUUUGUAAUAUCCUGUAUGUGUCUGGAGUACUUUGAUGCCUUGGAUUGGAAGCUAACUUAAAAGAUGAACUUUUGAGGGCGUGUUUUCUAUUGUGUGGGGCUUUUGUCGAAAUUAGGAUUCCGAAACACGUUUUUCUACGGUGGGUUCAUUCGACAGCGAUUUACUUUCUUAGAAGUUGCAAGACGGUAUGUUUUUGAUUGCAAUUAUUGGAAGAUGACAGAUCCAUCUUUAAAAUGAUACCAGGUUCGGAAAAAUUGAUACGUCGGAAAGGCAAGAAAAAUGCUGUGAAAGUUGUCAGUUUUAUAAUGGGACCCUAUGGGAAUCGGAAUUAGUGUAAUAUAACCUUUAAAAAGCACAUUUACUGCAAUGUCAAGGUCACAUGGAUUCGUCUGCAAGCGAGACAAGUAGAAAAUGAAUUUUAAUGAAUGUUUUGAUGAUUUGGGUGCUAAAAUAGAUGAGAGGUGUCAAUAUUUUGGUCCAAAUGGAUGUUUUAGGUUGUUUUAGACGGUUCCGGAUGGGUGGGGGACCUGGUAUGGACAAGUAAGGGUAACAUUUCCAACAAAUCUUAAAUGUAAAUAUUAUUAUGUCCAUAGAUUGAAGUUUCAGGUGGAGAGCAAGAUGAAAAAUAUGCAAAAUUACAUGCAUGCAACCCAUUUAUGCCAUUUUUCUCUUUGUUUGUAGGCCUGACCGUUUGUCCUUGAGCCGUAGAUGGUCAACAAUCCGCUAGCUGUCUUGCUCUGACUGGUGCACUGGACAUGAUUUCAAUAGUCAGCCAGACCAUGAUUGAGCUUAAGGAUUGUGCUGCGGAUGCAGCCUGUGCAGUUCCGGGAGAAAGUCACUGUCUCGGGCAAUGCGGUCUGGUAUCAGGUCUGGAUGAUCCUUGCCUGACUGCGGGUUUGUGUACACCUCAAUCCGACUCUGUGUCCUGAACAGAGGCCGCAGUGGUGCAGCGCUUGUGGACGAUCCAUCAACAUCCUGAAAGGUCAACACUACACCAAGCUGUGAAAAUUGAUCCUGAUAGUCAUC